GCGUUGUCCGGAUUUAUUGGGCGUAAAGCGCGCGUAGGCGGUCCCUUAAGUCUGAUGUGAAAGCCCACGGCUUAACCGUGGAGGGUCAUUGGAAACUGGGGGUCUUGAGUGCAGAAGAGGAGAGCGGAAUUCCACGUGUAGCGGUGAAAUGCGUAGAGAUGUGGAGGAACACCAGUGGCGAAGGCGGCUCUCUGGCCUGUAUCUGACGCUGAGGCGCGAAAGCGUG
rnacentral:rRNA from 1 species